GUGCCUAGGGCGAGCCGGGCCCCAGGGAAGCAGUGCCCCGCCUCCGGGUGUCCGGUGGCCUUCCUGAGGCCCAGGGAGGCAAACGUGGGGCAAGCACUGGGCUUGGAGUUCACAGCCCGGGGCUCGCAUCCCGCUCGGUCCCCUCUGCAGCGGAGCCGGCGGGCCGAUUCUUUGCAAGACCGCGCGCCCUGCCAGACUCAGUUUCCUCCUCUGUGCGAGCGGGCCGCCCACCCCCGGGGCUGGAGACUGCUCUCCGCCCGCCGCGCGCGCCCCGCGCCCCGGCCCUACCCUCCCCCGGGCCCGGGCCGAGCGUACCUGGGGCGGCGGGCGCGCAGCAGGCGGGCAGGCGGCAGGGCGGCGGCGGGCAGGCGCGGCAGCCGGCGGAGGCCCGCGCGGCCGGCAUCAGGCCCAUGGCGCGCCCAGGCGGCGGCAGGAAUGCCCGGCACGCGCGCAGGUAGCGUCUUGCCCGCCGCCCGCCCCGGGCCUGGAGGAGGGAGGAGAGAGGGAUGCAGGGAUGCGGGGAUGCGGGGAGGGCCCGGCCUGGCGAGUCCCCGAAACCCCGCGCCUGAAGCGAGCCCCGUGGAGGCACUCCCGUCUCCAGCAUCUGAGACCCUUUUCCUGAUGCUCGCUGUUAUUAAGCGCCGCAGAAGUACGGGCCGCUCCCGGGGAUGGGUCCCUCCCGCCUUGCGGGGGACUCGCUUUAGGGGUUCCCGUCCAGUCCACACACUGGGAGGCAGGUGUUCCAGGUGAGGCGAUGGAGGCCCAGGAAGGUCAGGUGUCUCGGUCUGGGUCACCCAGCCAGCAGAGCGCCAAGCCCAGAUCUAGAGCUGGCCUGCCAGCUUCAGAGCCGGCGCUCAGGGCUCCAGCCCUCUGCCCUGACACGGGCCAUGGACAGGCCAUGCCAGGGAAUGUGGUUAGGACUUAUAGGGUGUCUUGUGCAGCCCUGAGAGGUAAGUAUUAAUGUCCCCAUUUUACAGACAAAGCAGCUGAGGCUCAGAGAGGUGAUGCAGUUUGCCUAAGGUCACACAGCGGACCGAUGUGGAGGACCAAGGCUGCCUGGAAGAAGCAGAGAGCCAGAGAACCCGACCGUAGGAGCCCGGCAGGCCACUGGCCUCCAGCACGGGGGCUCAGAGCUGCAGCAGACAUGGGAGAACGCGGGUUUCCUGCAUCCUCCUCUGUGCCCUGAACAGAUCACGUGGGCCCACUGCUGCCCAGUCUCCUGCCCGAAAGGGGCUGUGGUGGGACUGUUCUCAUCCGGUGAGGGUCAGUCGGUACAUGGAGCACGGCACAGGGACACGCUGAGCAAACGUGAGCUGUUCUGGAACGCUCACCACCUUCUAAAGCACAGUGGUUCUCAAAACGUGAGGCCUAGCCCAGUGGCGGCAGCAGCAGCACCUGGGAACUCACGGUGAGAAAUACACAUUCCAGGGUCCCAUCGGAAGGAGCUGGACACCCCAUGCGUGGAGCCAGCGGGCUCUCUUACAACCCUUCCUCUGCAGGAUGCCGAUGCCAGCGGACGUCUGAGAACACUGCUCCACGCCUCGCAAUUGACUUUCCGUGCUGUUGUCUGUCUUGGGGAAUAGGAUGGCAGCUCUGGCUGUUCUCUUUUCUGCCCUGCCGUGUGCCCUGCCUGCACGUGG